rnacentral:rRNA from 1 species
CACAGCACUGUGCAAACACGAAAGUGGACGUAUACGGUGUGACGCCUGCCCGGUGCCGGAAGGUUAAUUGAUGGGGUUAUCCGUAAGGAGAAGCUCUUGAUCGAAGCCCCGGUAAACGGCGGCCGUAACUAUAACGGUCCUAAGGUAGCGAAAUUCCUUGUCGGGUAAGUUCCGACCUGCACGAAUGGCGUAAUGAUGGCCAGGCUGUCUCCACCCGAGACUCAGUGAAAUUGAACUCGCUGUGAAGAUGCAGUGUACCCGCGGCAAGACGGAAAGACCCCGUGAACCUUUACUAUAGCUUGACACUGAACACUGGUCCUUGAUGUGUAGGAUAGGUGGGAGGCUUUGAAGUGUGGACGCCAGUCUGCAUGGAGCCAUCCUUGAAAUACCACCCUUUAAUGGCUGGUGUUCUAACGUGGACCCGUUACCCGGGUUGCGGACAGUGUCUGGUGGGUAGUUUGACUGGGGCGGUCUCCUCCUAAAGAGUAACGGAGGAGCACGAAGGUUAGCUAAUCCUGGUCGGACAUCAGGAGGUUAGUGCAAAGGCAUAAGCUAGCUUGACUGCGAGAGUGACGGCUCGAGCAGGUGCGAAAGCAGGUCUUAGUGAUCCGGUGGUUCUGAAUGGAAGGGCCAUCGCUCAACGGAUAAAAGGUACUCCGGGGAUAACAGGCUGAUACCGCCCAAGAGUUCAUAUCGACGGCGGUGUUUGGCACCUCGAUGUCGGCUCAUCACAUCCUGGGGCUGAAGUAGGUCCCAAGGGUAUGGCUGUUCGCCAUUUAAAGUGGUACGCGAGCUGGGUUUAGAACGUCGUGAGACAGUUCGGUCCCUAUCUGCCGUGGGCGCUGGAGAAUUGAGGGGGGCUGCUCCUAGUACGAGAGGACCGGAGUGGACGCAUCACUGGUGUUCGGGUUGUCAUGCCAAUGGCAUUGCCCGGUAGCUAAAUGCGGAAGAGAUAAGUGCUGAAAGCAUCUAAGCACGAAACUUGCCCCGAGAUGAGUUCUCCCUGAGACUUUAAGUCUCCUGAAGGAACGUUAAAGACGAUGACGUUGAUAGGUCGGGUGUGUAAGUGUAGCGAUACAUUGAGCUAACCGAUACUAAUGAACCGUGAGGCUUAACCUU